rnacentral:ncRNA from 2 species
GAUAUAAGAAUGGGGAGCUGGCGAGUUAACCGGCUGAGAGGGGGCUGAACGCUUCGACCCACAACCUGAUGCGGAUAAUGCCGCCGUAGGGAUACGUUUGAUACAUACA